CGGCUUUACAAAGCAAGCUUCCUUAUUACAGGGAUAAAGUGACUUGCUCUACAACAGUAUUCCUUGGGACACACUUCUUAAGAAUCUGAAGUUGAUAGUAUUUUGACAGUAUUUAUUGAGUUUCUACAAGGUGCCCCUCGCUAUGCUAGGCUCUGGGUAUUUUCAGAGAGAGAGAUGCUCUCUCUGCCCACAGCUUCCAAGUUGGUGAAGAUGAUGUAUAAACUGACAAGUCAAACACAACAUCACAAGUACUGAAAUAAGAGCUGUGAACCCAGAGCCCAGAGGAGAGAGCAGGUAACAGCCUGGAGGAGAGAGCGAGGGCCUUACUGAAGCCAUGGCAGUUGAAUUGAGUCUUAAAAGGCUAGUAGACAUUUGCUUGCUGGAGAAGCACAGAGAGGAGUGGACCAAGCAAAGGAAAUAGCAAGUGCAAAGGCACUGAGGCUGACGAGUGAAUUGUCAGACAGUGAGGCUGACAAGGGAAUUGGCAAAAGUGUAAGGGUGGGGCUGAGAGGAGGCAACAACGAUGAAGUUCAGGAUGUAAAACAGCUACAACCUGUGGAGGGCUGUGGACGUCAUGUUAAGGAGUUUGAACUUUAUUCUGCAGACAACUGGAAGUCUAGAGGAGUUUUGAAGCGGAGGAUAAUAUCAAUUUUUUUCUUUAGGAAAAUAACUGGCCGCUGUGUGGAAGACGGGCAGCAAGGAGGAAAGACACAUGGCACACAGAACAGUGUGGAGAGCUGUACUCACGAGCACCAAGCCUGGAGGCUUGCAUGUGGAGACUUCACCCUCUGCAGUCAGGUCAGGAGCUGCUGCAGGCAGGAAGGCACCUGUUUCAAAACAAGAGUAGUGGUUGUUUGAGGAAAAGUAAGCGGAAAAGGAAGCAAGCAAGUACUACGCAGACACUGUCUCUUGGGAACCUGGAUCUGUCAGGCUGGGAGCUGGGGGUUCCGCCCAUCCGAUCCUUCUCGGCUCCAGCAGCGCCACGCUGGGAGCAUCCGGGCUUCUCCGGGCUGGUGGAACUCAACCUCAUCAUGAAGCAACCCCUCCCCCACCCCCCACUGGUUUUUCUGGGGUCCUCUUAAAGUGG
rnacentral:lncRNA from 1 species